rnacentral:lncRNA from 1 species
GGCAUCCAGCAUCCAGUUCCCAGUGAGUCUGGAAGUCAACAGGAACCCAAGAGCUGAGUUUAGAGUCCCUUUUGGCAAGAAAAGCACCACCUGGUGAACCACUUUGAAAAGCUGAAAGAAGUAAACUGGUUUGCAAACACGUAGCAAAGCCCUUUGUUCUCACAAAGAAUAAGGUGGAGAUACUUCCCUGCAGUGACACCAAUCAGAGAGGGGCUGAGGAUGGCAUGAGGAGCAGGCUAAAAGGAAGGGAUGGUGUUCAUGGUACAAUGCCCAGCUCCAUGUGCUUCCUGUGCUGUUCCUAGCCAGGUUCUCAGCUCCUAAGUUGAAGUCUGCUGAAGCGUCCUUAGUCUUUGCUGCAUAGGCCGCUAAAGCCGUCUACCUUUCAGUGGAUCCAAAAGCACGUGUUUUGGAUUGUAAGCAAGAAACAAAGAAUGAAGGAAAGCCAGGAAGUCAUCAAUCUAGGAAAAAAGUUAGAGUUUUAACUAUGGCUCCUCCCAACAACUGAUUAAAGGCUAAGACAGCAGCUUGGCUGGAAAGACUGCUUCCCUCCUGACUCCCAAGCAAAGAAGUGAGGGCCACACACAAACAUGCACAGGAUUUCUUUUGAUGCAGGAAGCUUUACCAUUCAAAACAGUUGCCCCAAAUGAUGAGUUGAAGAGGAAUUCUAUUGGGAAGGGGAGAGAGCCCAAGCAAAAACAGAAGGAACGGAAUCUGACUGAUGAGCGUGGAAAAUGAAGGAACAAUUCAAGAUUUCACACACACCAACCCAUCACUUUCAACUGUUUCAUUUUUUGUAGUUGUUUCAGGCUCUGUUUAAGACUUUUGCUCCUUCUGUGGAGCACUGGUAAGUUUUCUUUCACUGCUUGUUUACUUAUGUAGACUAAUGUGAACCUAGAAUCCUGCUUUUACCUUCAUCAGGUCACUUACACAUGUGCUCUCUACUUUUUCUGUCGUGAUUUGCUCUUUGUCCUUCCCUUGACCAUCAGUGCCACCCCUGAAGAUCUCAAUUCCCUUCCUUAUUGCAGAAAUCUCUUUUCUUUCUGAACCAUGACCAUGUUACCGCACCUCUCAUGAGCUUCAUGUCAGUAGAUCACCACUAGCUGAAGUAAUAGCAAGGUUCAAGCCACCUGUAGGUCAAGGGGGUCAGAUACUUCUCCAUGUCCGUUUCAAUUACUUCAGUGGAACAGAAAGAGCCCCAAGAACUUCAAGGUAAUUUCUUGCUCUGCAUGAGAUUCCUGGAAUGUUGCUUGUGUGCACUUUCAUACUCUCUUUUGUACUAGCCUAAUGUUGUCUUCAUUCUCCACUAUCCUUAUUUCCCUAAAACUUGUGAAUUGUGAAUCCAGCCUUCUAAUUUCCUUACACAAACAUUAAACUGAACAUCUGUGGCUCUGUUGUAAUGUUAAUAAAUAUUUGAAUACAUGGAAAUGGG